rnacentral:rRNA from 1 species
GAUGAACGCUGGCGGCGUGCCUAAUACAUGCAAGUCGAACGAAACUUCUUUAUCACCGAGUGCUUGCACUCACCGAUAAAGAGUUGAGUGGCGAACGGGUGAGUAACACGUGGGCAACCUGCCCUAAAGAGGGGGAUAACACUCGGAAACCGCUGCUAAUACCGCAUAACCAUCAUUACCGCAUGGUAACUAUGUCAAAGGUGGCUAUACUACCGCGAUUGGAUGGGCCCGGGGCGCAUUAGCUAGUUGGGAGGGUAAAGGCUUACCAAGGCAAUGAUGCGUAGCCGAAUUGAGAGGUUGAUCGGCCACAUUGGGACUGAGACACGGCCCAAACUCCUACGGGAGGCAGCAGUAGGGAAUCUUCCACAAUGGGCGAAAGUCUGAUGGAGCAACGCCGCGUGGGUGAAGAAGGUCUUCGGAUCGUAAAACCCUGUUGUUAGGGAAGAAAAUGCGUGGGAGUAACUGUUCACGUUUCGACGGUAUCUAACCAGAAAGCCACGGCUAACUACGUG